AGUGAACGCUGGCGGUAGGCCUAACACAUGCAAGUCGAACGGCAGCACAGUAAGAGCUUGCUCUUACGGGUGGCGAGUGGCGGACGGGUGAGGAAUACAUCGGAAUCUACUUUCUCGUGGGGGAUAACAUAGGGAAACUUACGCUAAUACCGCAUACGACCUACGGGUGAAAGCAGGGGAUCUUCGGACCUUGCGCGAUUGAAUGAGCCGAUGUCGGAUUAGCUAGUUGGCGGGGUAAAGGCCCACCAAGGCGACGAUCCGUAGCUGGUCUGAGAGGAUGAUCAGCCACACUGGAACUGAGACACGGUCCAGACUCCUACGGGAGGCAGCAGUGGGGAAUAUUGGACAAUGGGCGCAAGCCUGAUCCAGCCAUACCGCGUGGGUGAAGAAGGCCUUCGGGUUGUAAAGCCCUUUUGUUGGGAAAGAAAAGCAGCAGGUUAAUACCCCGCUGUUCUGACGGUACCCAAAGAAUAAGCACCGGCUAACUUCGUG
rnacentral:rRNA from 1 species